rnacentral:rRNA from 1 species
UACGAAGGGGGCUAGCGUUGCUCGGAAUCACUGGGCGUAAAGCGCACGUAGGCGGAUCUUUAAGUCAGGGGUGAAAUCCCAAGGCUCAACCUUGGAACUGCCUUUGAUACUGGGGGAUCUCGAGUCCGGAAGAGGUUGGUGGAACUGCGAGUGUAGAGGUGAAAUUCGUAGAUAUUCGCAAGAACACCAGUGGCGAAGGCGGCCAACUGGUCCGGGUACUGACGCUGAGGUGCGAAAGCGUGGGGAGCAAACAGG